AGUGGAGCUAUUGUAUUUCACCGUGGUUGGCUAUCGUGAGAUUCAAUUACUCCAACUAC
rnacentral:pre_miRNA from 1 species